AACGAACGCUGGCGGCAUGCCUAACACAUGCAAGUCGAACGAGACCUUCGGGUCUAGUGGCGCACGGGUGCGUAACGCGUGGGAACCUGCCCUUAGGUUCGGAAUAACUCCCCGAAAGGGGUGCUAAUGCCGGAUAAUGUCUUCGGACCAAAGAUUUAUCGCCUUUGGAUGGUCCCGCGUUGGAUAAGCUAUUUGUUAAGGUAAAAGCCUACCAAGGCGACGAUCCAUAGCUAGUCUGAGAGGGUGAUCAGCCACACUGGGACUGAUACACGGCCCAGACUCCGACGGAGGGCAGCAGCAGGGAAUCUUCCGGAACGGGCGAUGGCCUGACGGGCCGACGCCGCGUAAGUUAUGAAGGUCUUCUGAUCGGAAAGCACUGUUAGAAGGGAAGACAAAAAGUGCAAGCAACAAUGCACGACAUGACGUGACCUAAUCAGAAAGCCACGGCUAACUACGUG
rnacentral:rRNA from 1 species